ACUCUCGCGACAACUCCAGAGGGGCUCGGAGCGGAAGGGGCGGGGCCGCUCCCCGUGAGCCUCUGCGGUGCCCGCUCUCAAUCUGCAUAUAGAAGGCCGGGACGUAGUGGAUUCUUUUUUUUCCUUUCCCCCUCUCCUUGUACAGAGGAAGAGUUAAAGGGCUAUGAUUGGAAACCACUAGAAAACUUUCACGUCGACGGUUUUGCCGGUUGAACGACCGAUCGGAAAGUCACCACAGCUGUGAUGAGAAUAUAACUCCUCACCCCUGAUGAUCCGGGCGGUUGCUGUUCAUGCCUUAAACUUAUGAGUAAGGAAAAUAACGAUUCGGGGUGACGCCCGAGUCCUCACUGCUAAUGUGAGAAGAAUUUUUGAGCGGGUAAAGGUUACCCCCUAAGGUGACCCGCCUACUUUGCGGGAUGCCUGGGUGAGGUAGUCUGCCCGACCCCCUUUAUGCUAAAGAAAGUCAGAAAGAGAACAAGCUGUCUGCAUAGUUAUCCCGGAACUGCAUCGUGUGCACAGGUCUGCGGCUGCCUUUCCAUCCCAGUAAGCCGAGUUUAUCCCGGGCGUCCUACCCCGGUAUGAGUGUAGAUACUCUCCGAAGACUGUUGGCCACCUGCUGUAGGGUGAAAGAUUCACCUGCUGUAGGGUGAAAGAUUCAAGCUCACUUUCGGUUUCGGGAACCCAUCUUCUCCGCUGGCUGGACUCCACGUCCACUACCAGUCAGUUAUUUAAAAAAGUGCAUCAGGACUCAAAGAAGAGCUAGGCAGAAGCCAAAAAGCCUUGGGGUUCAGCACUGCAUCUGACACUGGAGAAGCAUCCUGGUCCCCGGAGUGGAGCUAAGAUUGGCUCGUUCUCUAUCCUUGUCUUCAAACAGAGACCACCAGCAUCCCACCUGUCUCUAGUUGUUCAAGAGGAGCAGGACCCCAGGGUGGGCAAAGGGAUAGAUAGCUGCAGGUUUAGCCUCAGUGCUGGGGCUAUUUGAGCCGUGCAGGGAACAGAACCGGCCACGGGGGUCUUGUCAAUAAAGCCCUCACUCCUCUUGACAGUGAAGUUGUUAAAAAAAAAAAAAAUAAAAAAUCCGUGUUUUCCUCCAGUACACGAGACUAUAAGGAAGUCAUCUAAUUUUGGUUUGGGCACUGGGGAUGAGGCUUUGGGUGGGGGCAGCCCCACUGGACUCCCCCAUGGAAUGGAGCUCUGUGAUCAGGUCUUUCUCCCCGGGGCAAACAAAUGCACCUUCCAGCGAUGAAACUGCCUUGUGGUAGCCAAAGAAAUUCACUUUGCUUGGCAACUGUAGAAACCACACCUGACUGUGAAACCCAGAGUCCAGCCGCACUGGAGUGGGGACGUGCCCAGGGUCCUGCUCUGGACAAGCCUCCCCAACGACUGCACCUCUCCUGGAGGACUUCAACUGUACACGGACAUACUACAUAAGCAAGUGACACCCUAUUGGUCCUUCACUGAGCCUGGAGUCAUCAAUAGGCUAGGUCGGCUGGCCAACCUGCUCACCAUCCUGACCACUUCCCAGGGCUGGAAUUGGGGCAUACACUGCCUUGCCAGCUCCCCAGCCCCUCCAGACUCCUGCUUUUCUUCAUGUUUCGGGAAGCUGCUUGUUCCAACUAUACGCCCUCGACCUCAUUCUCACUGCCUGAACAUCUGCUCCAGAGGGAUCAGGUCUCUACAUCCCAGCUAUGGCAUCAGCGGUGGCUUUCCUGCCAGCCGGUUUUAAGAACAGCCCUCAGUCCCUCCUGGUCUGUCUUCAAGUGACCACCUUACACAUGUUAUCAGCCUAGCAUCUUUCCCAGAAGAACCCAGAGCUAGGAAUCAGGAAAGAGAAGGCAAUGACAAAGACAUCACAGGGAAGUCUCAACAUGGACAGUGGACCAGGAAAGAGGCCCGAUGAGCCGCCCCCCCCCCCCCCUACACACACACUCUAUAUCUUCCACAGAGCUGUCCUGACCUGGAUGUGACAGUCAUCAGUAAGGUGACAGGACAAGGGUGAACUUCCCAUCUACUUUUCCCCACUUUCCAAACUCUGAACAGGCAACACAAAUGCAUAUCUGAAAUAAAACACGUCUGUCUCUUCUGCCCCUCCCUGGCGAUCCCCAUGAAGACUCCAGAAGGGUGCAGGAGGGGCCAAUACAGUCCCAGGAGACCCCAGGACUGGGAAGAACCCACCGUUUGAUCCAUCAUGUCCUCCGAGCAGUGAUCCCAUGAGCUAAGUAACUGAACACAUUUCCCUUUGCACCCCGGCUGCUGGGAAUGUCGGGGUGACAUACAGGGCCCAUUUGUGGAAGGCGUGCAUCACAGCCAAUGUUUGUGUGAGCCCCAUUCCUGACUUCAGGCCAGCCCUUGUUUUUCUUCCAUUUCUAAAUUCCAUUUGUACCCCCUCUGACUCAGCGUGUGAGUCACGGCAGGCUUCCUAGGAUUCCUCUGCAACAAGGCGUGGCGCGGCCAGACAGCUGCCUGGGAACGAGCCGUCUGACAGCACGGACGGGUACAGAGGAGAGGUUCACAAGGCAUCUCCGCACGGCGUUCCUUAUGCGGGUCCCAAAGGUGGCCUUGGGGAAAGCUAGCAUUUGCCACAUGUAUGGGCUGCUGUCCCUGUGUCUGGGUCCUCAGGGCCUGUUGCUGCUUCCUUGUGGAUCAGGGUGGUAUCGAAUAAAAGGGAAAUGCCAGCUGAUGACCCAACUCUUGCCUGAGCCUUGUUAGGGAAACCAGCCCGGCGAGAUGGCCUGCAUUUCCACAGAUCGCCACGAGGGGGCAGCCCUGGCCCUGACCCCCGGAGGGUGGUCUCCAGCAAGCCGCUCCCGGGCCAGCCCAUCUCCCACUCCCCCCCAUUUCUUUACUAGAAGAACAGAAGCCAUUCAGACACCCACACCCAGUGCCUCGCUGACUCACACAUGCAGGGCUUGGCCAGCAUGGAGCUGGGUAGCUGUUACUUCCCACUGAAACGCCUUCCUGCCGGGGGAGGAGGGAGGCCAAGGCUCAUAAAACUCCACAAGUGUGGAAGACUCACCAGGGCCUCCCCAGGAUUAUAAAGGCCGCAGGAAGAAGAGGAGACUCUGGACGGAGCUGCCUGCAAGGUGCCCAGGGAGCUCCUGGGAAGCCUCCUCGGUCAUGAGUGGGCACCCACGCUGGGGUGGGCUUCUAGGUGACGCCGCUGCUUCAGAGUCACCGUGUUCCUGUAGGGGACCCUGCAGCUGUGCUCCUGGCAAGACCCCAAUAAACUCGGUGGGCA